UACGUAGGGUGCAAGCGUUAAUCGGAAUUACUGGGCGUAAAGCGUGCGCAGGCGGUUCGGAAAGAGAGGUGUGAAAUCCCAGGGCUUAACCUUGGAACUGCAUUUUUAACUGCCGGGCUAGAGUAUGUCAGAGGGGGGUAGAAUUCCACGUGUAGCAGUGAAAUGCGUAGAGAUGUGGAGGAAUACCGAUGGCGAAGGCAGCCCCCUGGGAUGAUACUGACGCUCAUGCACGAAAGCGUGGGGAGCAAACAGG
rnacentral:rRNA from 1 species